rnacentral:rRNA from 1 species
AAUGAACGCUGGCGGCAUGCCUAACACAUGCAAGUCGAACGAGACCUUCGGGUCUAGUGGCGCACGGGUGCGUAACGCGUGGGAAUCUGCCCUUGGGUUCGGAAUAACUCGCCGAAAGGCGUGCUAAUACCGGAUGAUGACGUAAGUCCAAAGAUUUAUCGCCCAAGGAUGAGCCCGCGUAGGAUUAGCUAGUUGGUGGGGUAAAGGCCCACCAAGGCGACGAUCCUUAGCUGGUCUGAGAGGAUGAUCAGCCAUACUGGGACUGAGACACGGCCCAGACUCCUACGGGAGGCAGCAGUGGGGAAUAUUGGACAAUGGGCGAAAGCCUGAUCCAGCAAUGCCGCGUGAGUGAUGAAGGCCUUAGGGUUGUAAAGCUCUUUUACCCGGGAUGAUAAUGAUAGUACCGGGAGAAUAAGCCCCGGCUAACUCCGUGCCAGCCGCCGCGGUAA